CAGUCGCCGCGGUAAUACGAAGGGUGCAAGCGUUAAUCGGAAUUACUGGGCGUAAAGCGUGCGUAGGCGGUUUGUUAAGUCUGUUGUGAAAUCCCCGGGCUCAACCUGGGAAUGGCAAUGGAUACUGGCAAGCUAGAGUGUGUCAGAGGAUGGUGAAAUUCCCGGUGUAGCAGUGAAAUGCGCAGAUAUGCGGAGGAACACCGAUGGCGAAGGCAGCCCCCUGGGCCAACACUGACGCUCAUGCACGAAAGCGUGGGGAGCAAACAGGAUUAGAUACCCCAGUAGUCCCUGUCUCUUAUAC
rnacentral:rRNA from 1 species